rnacentral:rRNA from 1 species
AACGUAGGACGCAAGCGUUUAUCCGGAAUUACUGGGCGUAAAGCGCGUGUAGGUGGUUGCAUAAGUCACUGUUGAAAGCUCCUGGCUAAACUGGGAGAGGUGCGGUGAGACUGUGUGGCUAGAGUAUGGGAGAGGGAUGCAGAAUUCCGGGUGUAGUGGUGAAAUGCGUAGAGAUCCGGAGGAAUACCGACGGCGUAGGCAGCGCCCUGGACGACACCUGACGCUGAGGCACGAAAGCUGGGGGAGCGAUCCGG